rnacentral:rRNA from 1 species
AAUCAACGCUGGCGGCGUGCCUAACACAUGCAAGUCGAACGCGAAAGCCCCGCAAGGGGUUAGUAGAGUGGCAAACGGGUGAGUAACACGUGGGUGACCUGCCUUCGAGUGGGGGAUAACGUCCCGAAAGGGACGCUAAUACCGCAUAACAUCCUGCCUUUUAAGAGGUGGACAUCAAAGCUGGGGAUCGCAAGACCUAGCGCUUGAAGAGGGGCCCGCGCCUGAUUAGCUAGUUGGGGGUAAUGGCUCACCAAGGCAACGAUCAGUAUCCGGCCUGAGAGGGCGGACGGACACACUGGGACUGAGACACGGCCCAAACUCCUACGGGAGCAGCAGUGGGGAAUAUUGGACAAUGGGCGCAAGCCUG